GACGUCGAUAUUCGACGUCAUAAACAUCAUCAACUUAGGUGUUUAUGACGUCGAUAUUCGACGUCAUAAACACGAUCAACUUUGGUGUUUAUGACGUCGAUAUUCGACUUCAUAAACACGAUCAACUUAGGUGUUUAUGACGUCGAUAUACGAUGUCAUAAACACGAUCAACUUAGGCGUUUAUGACGUUGAGAUUCGACGUCAUAAAUACGAUCAACUUUGGAGAUGAUGACGUCGAUAUUCGCCGUCAUAAACACGAUCAACUUUGAUGUUUAUGACGUCGAUAUUCGACGUC
rnacentral:miRNA from 1 species